UUCCAUCUCUUGCACACUGAG
rnacentral:miRNA from 1 species